UUAAGCGACUAAGCGUACACGGUGGAUGCCCUGGCAGUCAGAGGCGAUGAAGGACGUGCUAAUCUGCGAUAAGCGUCGGUAAGGUGAUAUGAACCGUUAUAACCGGCGAUUUCCGAAUGGGGAAACCCAGUGUGAUUCGUCACACUAUCAUUAACUGAAUCCAUAGGUUAAUGAGGCGAACCGGGGGAACUGAAACAUCUAAGUACCCCGAGGAAAAGAAAUCAACCGAGAUUCCCCCAGUAGCGGCGAGCGAACGGGGAGCAGCCCAGAGCCUGAAUCAGUGUGUGUGUUAGUGGAAGCGUCUGGAAAGGCGCGCGAUACAGGGUGACAGCCCCGUACACAAAAAUGCACAUGCUGUGAGCUCGAUGAGUAGGGCGGGACACGUGGUAUCCUGUCUGAAUAUGGGGGGACCAUCCUCCAAGGCUAAAUACUCCUGACUGACCGAUAGUGAACCAGUACCGUGAGGGAAAGGCGAAAAGAACCCCGGCGAGGGGAGUGAAAAAGAACCUGAAACCGUGUACGUACAAGCAGUGGGAGCACGCUUAGGCGUGUGACUGCGUACCUUUUGUAUAAUGGGUCAGCGACUUAUAUUCUGUAGCAAGGUUAACCGAAUAGGGGAGCCGAAGGGAAACCGAGUCUUAACUGGGCGUUAAGUUGCAGGGUAUAGACCCGAAACCCGGUGAUCUAGCCAUGGGCAGGUUGAAGGUUGGGUAACACUAACUGGAGGACCGAACCGACUAAUGUUGAAAAAUUAGCGGAUGACUUGUGGCUGGGGGUGAAAGGCCAAUCAAACCGGGAGAUAGCUGGUUCUCCCCGAAAGCUAUUUAGGUAGCGCCUCGUGAAUUCAUCUCCGGGGGUAGAGCACUGUUUCGGCAAGGGGGUCAUCCCGACUUACCAACCCGAUGCAAACUACGAAUACCGGAGAAUGUUAUCACGGGAGACACACGGCGGGUGCUAACGUCCGUCGUGAAGAGGGAAACAACCCAGACCGCCAGCUAAGGUCCCAAAGUCAUGGUUAAGUGGGAAACGAUGUGGGAAGGCCCAGACAGCCAGGAUGUUGGCUUAGAAGCAGCCAUCAUUUAAAGAAAGCGUAAUAGCUCACUGGUCGAGUCGGCCUGCGCGGAAGAUGUAACGGGGCUAAACCAUGCACCGAAGCUGCGGCAGCGACGCUUAUGCGUUGUUGGGUAGGGGAGCGUUCUGUAAGCCUGCGAAGGUGUGCUGUGAGGCAUGCUGGAGGUAUCAGAAGUGCGAAUGCUGACAUAAGUAACGAUAAAGCGGGUGAAAAGCCCGCUCGCCGGAAGACCAAGGGUUCCUGUCCAACGUUAAUCGGGGCAGGGUGAGUCGACCCCUAAGGCGAGGCCGAAAGGCGUAGUCGAUGGGAAACAGGUUAAUAUUCCUGUACUUGGUGUUACUGCGAAGGGGGGACGGAGAAGGCUAUGUUGGCCGGGCGACGGUUGUCCCGGUUUAAGCGUGUAGGCUGGUUUUCCAGGCAAAUCCGGAAAAUCAAGGCUGAGGCGUGAUGACGAGGCACUACGGUGCUGAAGCAACAAAUGCCCUGCUUCCAGGAAAAGCCUCUAAGCAUCAGGUAACAUCAAAUCGUACCCCAAACCGACACAGGUGGUCAGGUAGAGAAUACCAAGGCGCUUGAGAGAACUCGGGUGAAGGAACUAGGCAAAAUGGUGCCGUAACUUCGGGAGAAGGCACGCUGAUAUGUAGGUGAAGUCCCUCGCGGAUGGAGCUGAAAUCAGUCGAAGAUACCAGCUGGCUGCAACUGUUUAUUAAAAACACAGCACUGUGCAAACACGAAAGUGGACGUAUACGGUGUGACGCCUGCCCGGUGCCGGAAGGUUAAUUGAUGGGGUUAGCGCAAGCGAAGCUCUUGAUCGAAGCCCCGGUAAACGGCGGCCGUAACUAUAACGGUCCUAAGGUAGCGAAAUUCCUUGUCGGGUAAGUUCCGACCUGCACGAAUGGCGUAAUGAUGGCCAGGCUGUCUCCACCCGAGACUCAGUGAAAUUGAACUCGCUGUGAAGAUGCAGUGUACCCGCGGCAAGACGGAAAGACCCCGUGAACCUUUACUAUAGCUUGACACUGAACAUUGAGCCUUGAUGUGUAGGAUAGGUGGGAGGCUUUGAAGUGUGGACGCCAGUCUGCAUGGAGCCGACCUUGAAAUACCACCCUUUAAUGUUUGAUGUUCUAACGUUGACCCGUAAUCCGGGUUGCGGACAGUGUCUGGUGGGUAGUUUGACUGGGGCGGUCUCCUCCUAAAGAGUAACGGAGGAGCACGAAGGUUGGCUAAUCCUGGUCGGACAUCAGGAGGUUAGUGCAAUGGCAUAAGCCAGCUUGACUGCGAGCGUGACGGCGCGAGCAGGUGCGAAAGCAGGUCAUAGUGAUCCGGUGGUUCUGAAUGGAAGGGCCAUCGCUCAACGGAUAAAAGGUACUCCGGGGAUAACAGGCUGAUACCGCCCAAGAGUUCAUAUCGACGGCGGUGUUUGGCACCUCGAUGUCGGCUCAUCACAUCCUGGGGCUGAAGUAGGUCCCAAGGGUAUGGCUGUUCGCCAUUUAAAGUGGUACGCGAGCUGGGUUUAGAACGUCGUGAGACAGUUCGGUCCCUAUCUGCCGUGGGCGCUGGAGAAUUGAGGGGGGCUGCUCCUAGUACGAGAGGACCGGAGUGGACGCAUCACUGGUGUUCGGGUUGUCAUGCCAAUGGCACUGCCCGGUAGCUAAAUGCGGAAGAGAUAAGUGCUGAAAGCAUCUAAGCACGAAACUUGCCCCGAGAUGAGUUCUCCCUGACUCCUUGAGAGUCCUGAAGGAACGUUGAAGACGACGACGUUGAUAGGCCGGGUGUGUAAGCGCAGCGAUGCGUUGAGCUAACCGGUACUAAUGAACCGUGAGGCUUAACCU
rnacentral:rRNA from 1 species